GUGAAGAUCAACAGCCGGGGGCUGGUCUAUUCCGUGGUGCUGCUGCUGGGCUCUGUGGCUCUCACUGUGAGUUUUACCAUUUCCAAAUGGGAGCGCCGUGCACACCUCAUCUCAUCCAGCUCAGCCUGGCCGGGCACAUCUCCCUGUGACUUGCCCUCCAGGGUGAGGUCCUUGGCAUCCACCUCAACAAAUGGCGCCUGGACAGGAAGCUGGGCAUCUACGUGCUGGUCCUCUAUGCCGUCUUUCUGUGCUUCUCAAUAAUGAUAGAGUUUAACGUCUUUACCUUCGUCAACUUGCCCAUGUGCAGAGAAGACGACUAAAGCUGAGCUGUCACCCAGGAAAGUGCUGUGGCCACCACGGGGCUGGUGUCCUCUCUCUCUCUUUCUCCGCACAGGUCUCGACUGCCUUGGCAGCCACUGUCAACUCUUUCAUGAGCUGGAAGGAAGGGCCACCAUGGUCUUUGGUCAUGGGCCAAGCUGCUGGGCAUCUGUCCCUGCGUGACAGGGUCCAGUCAUUAUUUGAACAGCUCCACAGACU
rnacentral:lncRNA from 1 species